AUGACUCAUCAGUUUAUCAGAAAAAAGGCGGUCAUUAGUUUCUAUAAAACUCCAAAUAGGUUGAUGAUUGCUUUCUGCAAGCUUUGGAGUUGUAUUUUUAUCAUCUUUUGUUCAUCUUGCUUAGGACUGCUACUUUUGCUUUUGGUGGAACAAAACAAAGGAAAGAACAAAGCCGUUUCAGAGAAGGAUUUAGUGUUGUACAUUUCAAUUUAUAGAUGAAAGUGGAUCAACAACUGCAAAUUACUUGGUGAACUUGGAGAGAAUAUUCUUUCAAUGAGAACUGAACAAAUCUAUGAACCAAUUAACAUAAAGAGAAACAGGAUGCUCUUCAAUUACCAACGUCAUCAGCUUCUCUAGAUGUUGGAGAAAACACUAAAAGAGAACUUGACAAUGCAUCAUCGCCAGAUGAACCGAAAAAGCCAACUAUUGGAAGUACCUCAUCUAGCAAGAGACAACAGCUUGAGUGCAUAACUCGAUCAAAAAAGAAUGUCUCUUCCAGCACACCAGCUAAGAUAAAGUAAAGCUCGCUCGGCUAUGUGCCUGCCUUGUAUAUAUGUCUUUUGUUGGUUUCUAUAUGCCAAGCUUUUGAUGGAGCAGAUGCUUAAGGAUCAGUAGUUAAUAGUUACAAUAUACAAGAUUGUUGGUGCUUACAAUGUUUACCCUUAAACUUGCGCAUUAUAAAUGUGUUUUUGGCUGGUAGCGCAAAACUAAAGUGUCCUGUAGUAUUAAGCAUUGUAAAUUUGUUUUUGUCCAGUAGCGCACUAUAGUCUUGCGCAUUGUAAAUUUGUUUUUGUCAGUAGCACACAACUUGAUAGUUGUGUAUCCUUGCGCAGUGUAAAUUUGUUUUUGUCUAGCAGCACACAACUUGAUAAUCCUAUAUUAUAAUCUUAGUUCCUAAAAA